rnacentral:lncRNA from 1 species
AUUAGAAAUGGCUUUGGACACCUUCCCCCUUCCCUGAGCGGCUCCAGAAUGUUUCUUGCACUGUUCUCUACCCACCUUCUUCACUCUGGAAGACUGGAAACAGAGAAGUUUUAGUGGGUCUGCUUCCCAGCUGUGGAAUCAGAAAGCCUGGAAAAGAAGUGGCUGAGCAAAGACCCUCAGCACCCCCCGGUGAGUGUGACAGCUGUUCCUGGGCUCCUGCCCCGUCUCCUUGGGGGUCUGUCUGUGCCACAAGGGCUGCUGGUCGGGUGGGUGCAUGGGAGUGGAGUGGAAGAACAAGCACAGGUCAGACAAGAGGAAGGUGAGGGCAGGGAAUGAACACAGACGGCAAUGAAAUGUCAUUCCGUUAGCUAUUCAUUGAAAGCCCCAUUUGAACUGUGCUCAUCCCAAAGACAACCUUCCCCCAGCAACACCCGUGAACGUUCAGGUCAGCCACCAAGGGUGUUCUCACGGCCUGCCCCUUGAGCGAUGGGAUUCCUCAGUGCUUAGCUGUCCUCCACUGCACCACCAGUGAGGAGUGGUCCAGAGGCACCGCCUUCGGGUGCUGAAGCGGUACCGAUCCCUCCCCGCCCGGCUAACUAGCACCUCACUUUCCUAUUGAUCAGGGGGCCCCUGAGCCCGUCUCAGAUGGAUGGGGACUCAUUCACCACAGCUCCCGGUGGGCCUGGUGGCCUCUCCAGAGAAGAAUAGGCAGGCUGAGAUGAGAGCUGGGGUCCUGAGGUCCAUCCACCUGGAGAAAUGUGGGGUUGAGGGGAGGAGGAGACACAUCUAGAAUAAAGAGAAGUGCUCCCCCACACUAGGGACAGCUCCAGAGACGCGCAUUUUCAGAUAUGGUCUGGUUUGUGUGGCUGGGCUCUGGGAUUAGGGGAAUGGGGCUGGCGCUCCUCCUGGUCCUCAGACAUUCAGAGAUGGCCAGGAGGAGUAGAAGACCCAUUAACACCUCAGCAAAGGAAGCAAGUGCCUGCAAGAGCCUCCUACACAUCUAUGGAAAACUUCGAGCCGGGGUACACAGGUGCCUGCCCUAAGUGAACCCACCCUCCCUGGGUUCACCCCAUCCUUUAUGCCCGUCCUCUCCGCACGGACGUGACAGAUGAUGGAAGUCACACUUUUGCGCGGCCUCUGGGGCUUGCUGUGGUUGCCCCUCGCCCCAGCAGGUCACGGGGGGCAUGGUGCUCUCCCACUGGAGGACAGCUCACUGCCCCAUCAGGCAGGAACGCUUCACUUCCUGACCCCACAGGGAGUGGACCCUGGGCUCUGCACACAGCCCACACUCAACUGGCACUUGUCAACCACCCAACUGGAAGUGGGCAUUACACACUGGGGUUGACAGGUCCCUGGGCCCAGAAGGUCCCUUGGCAGCCACUGAAGACAGCUUAGAGUCUCACUUGCUCUCCCCCAGCCUUGCCUGUGCCUGUGGACUCCUGGCCGACAGAGCUCCCAGGCCUGGCUCUUAAAGCAGGACUAAGCAGUCUCGUGGCUUCUUCCCUAGGCUGGCCGAAACCCAGCUCCCCCACAGGAGGGACUGAGGCCAUCUCAACGCCUCCUGGACACCAGUGGAUGUGACACAGCAAGAGCUCUUUGAGAUGGGGAAGCCAGCGCAGCUCCUUUUGAAUUCCCCCUCCCCCUCAGCCCUUACUUUGUCCACCUAAGCCAGGCCUUCUACUCAGCGAGGAAUAUUCCAGAAAUCAUCCAUCACUAAACUCUGGGAGUGGAUCUCCGUAGCUGUACAGUUGGAAAGGAUCUGGAAAACCCACAGACCCCCCGCGAUGGGAAAGACCGCUAGCACGUGGCACGCAGGGACGCCUCAUCCGUCACUAUGGCACCAGCGCCUGCACGACCCGGACGGG